rnacentral:rRNA from 1 species
UACGUAGGGUGCGAGCGUUGUCCGGAUUUAUUGGGCGUAAAGAGCUCGUAGGCGGCUUGUCACGUCGGGUGUGAAAGCCCGGGGCUUAACCCCGGGUCUGCAUUCGAUACGGGCUAGCUAGAGUGUGGUAGGGGAGAUCGGAAUUCCUGGUGUAGCGGUGAAAUGCGCAGAUAUCAGGAGGAACACCGGUGGCGAAGGCGGAUCUCUGGGCCAUUACUGACGCUGAGGAGCGAAAGCGUGGGGAGCGAACAGG